rnacentral:rRNA from 1 species
GCUAGUACCGAUUGAAUGGCUUAGUGAGGCCUCAGGAUCUGCUUAGAGAAGGGGGCAACUCCAUCUCAGAGCGGAGAAUUUGGACAAACUUGGUCAUUUAGAGGAACUAAAAGUCGUAACAAGGUUUCC